CUCUCUCAGAAAACACCCAAAGGGCAAACUGUUUAGACCUGCAUCUGCCAGGGCUCCAAGGUGGACAUUCUUGGGCCAGUCUCAGCACUCUGCUUCCCUCCAGGACUAGGCACUUGCCCAGCCCAGCCCUCAAUGCAGGAGCUUGUCCUGGGACAGGCAGAGAAAGGAUCAGGAACAGAGAGAAGCCCUCAGAGGAACAGGAAAGGAGGCUGCACUGGGGCAGAAGAGACAGCUGGGAAGGACUGGGAAGAAAGCCCUUGGGGCAUGGCUGAGCUGCUACAAAGGGAGAGUCCCAAAGUUCAGGAUUGUGAACUGCAUGUAAUGUGAAGCACUGGGGUGGCCAGGAGCCGAGUAUGCAGCAGGAAUUGUUCAUCAGCACAUCAUACCAAAGCUUGAAGAUCACUCUUACAAGACACCACUCAAGUGAAUAAAGU
rnacentral:lncRNA from 1 species